UCCAGAUGGCUAUCUUCCCGUCCUCGCGGGCCGCCCCACUCAGCACAUAACGGUCCUCUGCGGAGCACAGUGCCUGGACACAGUCUGUGUGAGCUACCAGCUCCUUCUCUACCGUGUGUCGCUGGGCAUCCACUACGUAGAUCUUCCCUCUGGACUUCCCCGAGCUCCGGCCGCCAACCCAGAUCUGACAGGACAGGAGAACCUGAGCCCUCGGACCAUACGUCAGGACUACCGGGCAUGAUGACUCCUUGCUGUCCCCAGUCCACCUGGCCUUGCUGCUGUUCCAGUUUCAACUGUUCUGCCUGCGGUUAUGGAACCCCUACCUGUCCCAGACCUGCUGCUUUCAACUCUUAAUGAUCGGCUAUGAAAAGCCAACUGACAUUUAUUCCUGAUUAUUAUUUGACCAUGCUUGUCAUUUAUGAACAUUUUGAAAAUCUUGGCUCUCUCUAAUUCUAUCCUUCUCUCUUUCUCUCUCUCUCGGAGGACCUGAGCCCUAGGACCAUACGUCAGGACUACCGGGCAUGAUGACUCCUUGCUGUCCCCAGUCCACCUGGCCUUGCUGCUAUUCCAGUUUCAACUGUUCUGCCUGCGGUUAUGGAAUCCCUAACUGUCCCAGACCUGCUGUUUUCAACUCUUAAUGAUCGGCUAUGAAAAGCCAACUGACAUUUAUUCCUGAUUAUUAUUUGACCAUGCUUGUCACUUAUGAACAUUUUGAACAUCUUGGCCAUGUUCUGUUAUAAUCUCCACCCGGCACAGCCAGAAGAGGACUGGCCACCCCUCAUAGCCUGGUUCCUCUCUAGGUUUCUUCCUAGGUUUUGGCCUUUCUAGGGAGUUUUUCCUAGCCACCGUGCUACACCUGCAUUGCUUGCUGUUUGGGGUUUUAGGCUGGGUUUCUGUACAGCACUUCGAGAUAUUAGCUGAUGUACGAAGGGCUAUAUAAAAUAAACUUGAUUUGAUUUAAUGGAAACUACUGUAGAGUACUCAAGCCCUUUAAUGGAAACUACAGUAGAGUACUCAAGCCCUUUAAUGGAAACUACAAUAGAGUACUCAAGCCCUUCAAUGGAAACUACAGUAGAGUACUCAAGCCCUUUAAUGGAAACUACAGUAGAGUACUCAAGCAAUGUGCUUUAAUGGAAACUACAGUAGAGUACUCAAGCCCUUCAAUGGAAACUACAGUAGAGUACUCAAGCCCUUCAAUGGAAACUACAGUAGAGUACUCAAGCCCUUUAAUGGAAACUACAGUAGAGUACUCAAGCCCUUUAAUGGAAACUACAGUAGAGUACUCAAGCCCUUCAAUGGAAACUACAGUAGAGUACUCAAGCCCUUUAAUGGAAACUACAGUAGAGUACUCAAGCCCUUCAAUGGAAACUACAGUAGAGUACUCAAGCCCUUUAAUGGAAACUACAGUAGAGUACUCAAGCAAUGCCCUUUAAUGGAAACUACAGUAGAGUACUCAAGCAAUGCCCUUAAAUGGAAACUACAGUAGAGUAGAAUAGAAGCAUUCUAAUCUUCGGUCUACAAUGCAGUCUGCAGAUGGUCUCACCUGGUUUUUGACCUUGAUGAGGCAGGUGACACCUGCACAGUCGGGCAACUGGAUCCUCUGGAAGGGCUUGGUGAGCUCCCUGAGGUGCCACACACACAGCUCUCCUACGUCUAUACAGGCCGUCCACAGCUGCUCCUUCUGGAACACAUAGCACACAACACCACUCCUUCAUCACCAACAUACCAUGUCAAAGUAGCACAGACCUCACUGAUCACAGUAGGCUAUAUGUUAAAUAUGACAUACUAUGUAUACAAUACAUGCAGGGAUGAAACAUGACACUGGCCAGCCGGGCUAGCAGGCCACGAUUUCCACCAGCCCGGGUAACAUUCUGGUCCAAAGUCAGUGCCUUUCAAAAACAACAUUUCAUCCAGCCUGGUAGGUUAUGAAAAGUACUAGCCUCAGCUUGUUUAAUUUCUAUAUUUCUACAAACACAUAAACCACGAGUCACCUCCUGGUAGAGCAGGAAGCUGCUGAAGGCAGUGGGGGAGCCACAGAGCUGUUCAGGAAGGGAGAUCUUGCGAUUCAACGUUCCGGUUUUCCACACCUCCAUAAUGCAGUCUCUGGCACCUGAAUGACGUAGGAGGAAUAACAACCACAAUUAUAACAAUCAAUCUGUCAUGUACAGUAUUAUAAACUGGGUGGUUCGAGCCCUGAAAGCUGAUUGGCUGACAGCCAUGGUGUAUCAGUGGUAUACCACGGGUAUGACAAAACAUUUAUUUUACUGCUCCAAUUACAUUGGUAACCAGUUUAUAAUACCAAUAAUGCACCUCUGGGGUUUGUGGUAUAUGGCCAAUAUACCACAGUUAAGGGCUGUGUCCAGGCCCUCUGCGUUGUGUCGUGCUUAAGAACAGCCCUUAGCCGUGGUAUAUUGGCCAUAUACCACACCUCCUCGGGCCUUAUUGCUUUAGUCUAGUAUUGCCAGAAGUAAUUUUCAUCAUUUUAAGUACACUAUUUUGAUGUUUUUAUGUGUACUUACAGCACCAUAGGGUUCCACUGCAGAGCUGAACGGACUGGAGACGGUCACAGGAGAGCCUGAACUGUUUCCUCACCUGCAGCGUGGACACGUCCCACGCCAUCACUGUACCUUCCGCACUGCAGGAGUAUGCCACCUUGGGGCUGCAACAGGGAAUACAUACACCGGGCCAGCCCUGUGACCUCACUGCGGUGGUCCGUCAGCUGCUUGUUACAGGACAUGCUGCGGGUGCUGAUUAUGUAAAUGACGGAAU